UACAGAGGGUGCGAGCGUUGUCCGGAAUCACUGGGCGUAAAGGGCGCGUAGGCGGCUUGAUAAGCGUGCGGUGAAAGCCCGGGGCUCAACCCCGGGUCGGCCGUGCGAACUGUCGAGCUGGAGCACUGUAGAGGCAGGUGGAAUUCCGGGUGUAGCGGUGGAAUGCGUAGAGAUCAGGAGGAACACCGGUGGCGAAGGCGGGUCUCUGGGCCGUAACUGACGCUGAGGAGCGAAAGCGUGGGGAGCGAACAGG
rnacentral:rRNA from 1 species